rnacentral:rRNA from 1 species
AUUGAACGCUGGCGGCAGGUCUAACACAUGCAAGUCGAACGGUAACAGGAAGAAGCUUGCUUCUUUGCUGACGAGUGGCGGACGGGUGAGUAAUGUCUGGGAAACUGCCUGAUGGAGGGGGAUAACUACUGGAAACGGUAGCUAAUACCGCAUAACGUCGCAAGACCAAAAAGGGGGACCUUCGGGCCUCUUGCCAUCGGAUGUGCCCAGAUGGGAUUAGCUAGUAGGUGGGGUAACGGCUCACCUAGGCGACGAUCCCUAGCUGGUCUGAGAGGAUGACCAGCCACACUGGAACUGAGACACGGUCCAGACUCCUACGGGAGGCAGCAGUGGGGAAUAUUGCACAAUGGGCGCAAGCCUGACGCAGCCAUGCCGCGUGUAUGAAGAAGGCCUUCGGGUUGUAAAGUACUUUCAGCGGGGAGGAAGGGAGUAAAGUUAAUACCUUUGCUCAUUGACGUUACCCGCAGAAGAAGCACCGGCUAACUCCGUG